rnacentral:rRNA from 1 species
GAUGAACGCUGGCGGCGUGCUUAACACAUGCAAGUCGAACGGAAAGGCCCAAGCUUGCUUGGGUACUCGAGUGGCGAACGGGUGAGUAACACGUGGGUGAUCUGCCCUGCACUUCGGGAUAAGCCUGGGAAACUGGGUCUAAUACCGGAUAGGACCACAUUUUGGAUGGUGUGGUGGAAAGUUUUUCGGUGUGGGAUGAGCUCGCGGCCUAUCAGCUUGUUGGUGGGGUAAUGGCCUACCAAGGCGUCGACGGGUAGCCGGCCUGAGAGGGUGUACGGCCACAUUGGGACUGAGAUACGGCCCAGACUCCUACGGGAGGCAGCAGUGGGGAAUAUUGCACAAUGGGCGCAAGCCUGAUGCAGCGACGCCGCGUGGGGAUGACGGCCUUCGGGUUGUAAACUCCUUUCGCUAGGGACGAAGCGUUAUGUGACGGUACCUGGAGAAGAAGCACCGGCUAACUACGUG